rnacentral:rRNA from 1 species
AUUGAACGCUGGCGGCAGGCCUAACACAUGCAAGUCGAGCGGGGUUUUCGGACCUAGCGGCGGACGGGUGAGUAAUGCGUAGGAAGCUACCCGAUAGAGGGGGAUACCAGUUGGAAACGACUGUUAAUACCGCAUAAUGCCUACGGACCAAAGUGUGGGACCUUCGGGCCACAUGCUAUCGGAUGCGCCUACGUGGGAUUAGCUAGUUGGUGGGGUAAUGGCUCACCAAGGCGACGAUCCCUAGCUGGUUUGAGAGGAUGAUCAGCCACACUGGAACUGGGACACGGUCCAGACUCCUACGGGAGGCAGCAGUGGGGAAUAUUGGACAAUGGGCGCAAGCCUGAUCCAGCCAUGCCGCGUGUGUGAAGAAGGCCUUCGGGUUGUAAAGCACUUUCAGUAGGGAGGAAGGGUGUUGUGUUAAUAGCACAGCAUUUUGACGUUACCUACAGAAGAAGCACCGGCUAACUCUGUGCCAGCCGCCGCGGUAAGAC